CAGUGAGUGGUUCACGUGUCCACAUAGAGUGCACCCUCUAUCGUUCCAAUCAAUGCUCGGUGUUGUUUACAGAUGACCAAGGGAGACAGACAAAGAUUGUUGUGGAUAUCAAGGAAGGAGAUACACUGGAGGUGUUACCAGUGAGUAUACACCCCACAGAUGACAGUUAUCAACACGGAAAUAGCGGGGUGGGAUUUGACAGUGCUUCCCAAACUCCGGGGAGCCCGGGGACGGACAGAACGGAUGAAGAAAUUGGAUCACUGCGAUCUGAUGAAGGCUGGGAUCGGGGAGGAGAACAUUGUACAACUUGUACAUGCGCAGUAAGCGUCAGACCUCGUCGUUCUCCCUCUAUCUUUGCACCCUGCAUGCCAGAGGAGUGAUGUGCUGCAGCUAACCAAAGGGGCGGAUCCAGG